GGGUGAGUAUACUUAGGAAUCUACCUAGUAGUGGGGGAUAGCACGGGGAAACUCGUAUUAAUACCGCAUACGACCUACGGGAGAAAGGGGGCAGUUUACUGCUCUCGCUAUUAGAUGAGCCUAAGUCGGAUUAGCUAGAUGGUGGGGUAAAGGCCUACCAUGGCGACGAUCUGUAGCUGGUCUGAGAGGAUGAUCAGCCACACCGGGACUGAGACACGGCCCGGACUCCUACGGGAGGCAGCAGUGGGGAAUAUUGGACAAUGGGGGAAACCCUGAUCCAGCCAUGCCGCGUGUGUGAAGAAGGCCUUUUGGUUGUAAAGCACUUUAAGCAGUGAAGAAGACUCCAUGGUUAAUACCCAUGGACGAUGACAUUAGCUGCAGAAUAAGCACCGGCUAACUCUGUGCCAGCAGCCGCGGUAAUACAGAGGGUGCAAGCGUUAAUCGGAAUUACUGGGCGUAAAGGGAGCGUAGGUGGCUCUAUAAGUCAGAUGUGAAAUCCCCGGGCUUAACCUGGGAAACUGCAUCUGAAACUGUAGAGCUAGAGUAUGUGAGAGGAAGGU
rnacentral:rRNA from 1 species